rnacentral:rRNA from 1 species
AAUAUUUGACCAGGGGGGCAACGCCGAUCCAGCCAUGCCGCGUGUGUUAAGAAGGNCUNNGGAUUNUNAAGCCCUUUAAGUUUNNNNNAAGGGCUUUAGGGUAAGACCCUGAAGUUUUGACGUUACCAACAGAAUAAGCAUCGGAUACUUCUGUGCCAGCAGCCGCGGUAAUACAGAGGGUGCAAGCGUUAAUCGGAAUUACUGGGCGUAAAGCGCGCGUAGGAGGUUCAGUAAGAUGGGUGUAAAAUCCCCGGGCUUAACCUGGGAACUGCUUUCAUAACUGCUGAGCUAGAGUACGGUAGAGGGUAGUGGAAUAUCCUGUGUAGCGGUGAAAUGCGUAGAUAUAGGAAGGAACACCAGUGGCGAAGGCGACUACCUGGACUGAUACUGACACUGAGGUGCGAAAGCGUGGGGAGCAAACA